rnacentral:tRNA from 1 species
ACGCACGGGGGGCCCAGGAGCCCGUGUGCCGCCACCGACGGGACGUCGAAGGGCCGGAACCCCGCUGGGGGGUUCCGGCCCUUCGUGCGUAC